UGUGUUCUAGACCUUUUGUAAUCC
rnacentral:siRNA from 1 species